rnacentral:lncRNA from 1 species
CAACCAACAAAGGAAAUAGCUGCUGUGAUGAGGUCAGGAGGAAAGUGGAGGAGGGAGAAUCAAGUGAGCCUCAAGGUUAAAUGAGAAGUAAUUGGCAGCUAAAAAAAAGAGAAAGAAAAGAAAAUAAGAAAAGAAAAAAAGAAAAGAAAAGACAUAAGCCAAAUCUUCAGCAUAAUAAUUUUGAAAGUAAUGGCAUAUCAUCAUAUUUUGCAGGUGUACGGAAAGCACUCUAUGGCAUUUUGCCAUUUCAUACUCUGGCUCCCAUUUCCUUUUGUCAAGAGGUUUUUGACUGAAGUCACAAUUGUCUUGGGAAAGAAAGGAUAAAAUGCUACAUGAAUAGCUUAAGUGAUAGAUUUCAGAUGAGGCUGUACAAAUACUGAACCAACAUCUGCAUUCAGGAGUAGAUGGAUGAAGGCCAAUACAUUGAAACUGCAUGCUUGGGCCUGAGCCUGACUCUAUCGAAAGAAGCAAUCUUCUCUCCAACACCUAGAAAGGGACAACUUCUCUCCAGUCUCACUGAGGAAAAUGACCCUCAUGCCAUCGGGAUUGGGCCUAGCGAAGUCCCCAAAGCCUCAUCGGGAGUGAGAAUACCCAGCUGGGUUUUGAACUUAUUGCAUCAGAGUCCAGUAGGUCAGCGCAUUAAUCAGGAACUCUGAAAUCCAGUGAGAUACUUUGUUGGGAACAGUUACAGUGUUCUGGCUAAUCUUAACUAUAAUUUUAAAGACAUUAGCUAUUUUAAAAAGCUAUUUCCCAUUCCUCCAAGCUUUAUGUCUGCUUAAAAGUUAUUUUCCAUGUUCCUUCAUAGAUGACUUAGAAUCAACAUGUAUGAAUUUACAUCUUUGGCCUACUUAGCAUAAGAGAAUUAUUUGACUUGUUGUGUUCUUUAUUAUCAUCAUUACUAUUAUUCUAUUUUACAUAUUUAAUGUUAUGUACUAAACAUCUUCCCCUGCAAGCAGUGAUAUGCCCCCCUUACAGUUUUCUUUUAUAACACAUUCAGCAUUUUUCUGAGACAUAAUUAAAACAUCAAACAGUUUUCCUGCUGGUUAUGCUAAAAUCUGCAAACUAGAGUCUGCUGGUUUUAUUGAAAAUUAAAAUAUACUGUUCUUAUGCAUAUUUAGAAUGACCUUAAAAAGUAUUUUUUUUAAAAAAUGAUUUUGUAGACCAUCGUAUAAUACUGCUGUACAAUGUUAAAGUACCUGAAUUAAAGAAUGCCUCUAAUUGGUAGCAGGAGAGUUCUUGUUAAAAUAUAAAAUAUGUAUUUUGUUCACUAUUUUCUCAGGCUUAAUGUGCCUAAUUUUCCCAUGCAACUUUAUCCCUAAGGAAAAAUAAAGAAGGAA